rnacentral:rRNA from 1 species
UAAGGGAUAUUGGGCAAUGGGCGAAAGCCUGACCCAGCAACGCCGCGUGGAGGACGAAGGUCUUCGGAUUGUAAACUCCUUUUGCAGGGGACGAGGAAGGACGGUACCCUGCGAAUCAGUCUCGGCUAACUACGUGCCAGCAGCCGCGGUAAAACGUAGGAGGCGAGCGUUAUCCGGAUUUACUGGGCGUAAAGGGUGUGCAGGCGGGCCGUUAAGUGGUGCAUGAAAGUGAAGGGCUCAACCCUUCGAGGCUGUGCCAGACUGGCGGUCUAGAGUGCGAGAGAGGGCUGUGGAAUUCCGGGUGUAGUGGUGAAAUGCGUAGAGAUCCGGAGGAACACCAGAGGCGAAGGCGGCAGCCUGGCUCGCAACUGACGCUGAGACACGACAGCAUGGGGAGCGA